CUACUUUGACCGAAAUCAUCAUCUUUGGUUGCAAACUUCCAGUUUCCACCAACUUUGACCAAAAACAUCUACUUUGACCGAAAUCAUCAUCUUUGGUUGCAAACUUCCAUUUCCCACCAACUUUGACCAAAAACAUCUACUUUGACCGAAAUCAUCAUCUUUGGUUGCAAACUUCCAGUUUCCACCAACUUUGACCAAAAACAUCUACUUUGACCGAAAUCAUCAUCUUUGGUUGGAAACUUCCAGUUUCCACCAACUUUGACCAAAAACAUCAACUUUGACCGAAAUCAUCAUCUUUGGUUGCAAACUUCCAGUUUCCACCAACUUUGAUCAAAAACAUCAACUUUGACCAAAAACAUCAACUUUGACCGAAAACAUCAACUUUGGUCGCAAAAUUCAUGUUUCCACCAACUUUGACCAAAAACAUCAACUUUGACCGAAAACAUCAACUUUGGUCGCAAACCUCGAGUUUCCACCAACUUUGAUCAAAAACAUCAACUUUGACCGAAAUCAUCAUCUUUGGUUGCAAACUUCCAGUUUCCACCAACUUUGACCAAAAACAUCUACUUUUGACCGAAAUCAUCAACUUUGGUUGCAAACUUCAAGUUUCCACCAACUUUGACCAAAAACAUCAACUUUGACCAAAAACAUCAACUUUGACCGAAAACAUCAACUUUGGUCGCAAAAUUCAUGUUUCCACCAACUUUGGCCAAAAACAUCUACUUUGACCGAAAACAUCAACUUUGGUCGCAAACCUCGAGUUUCCACCAACUUUGAUCAAAAACAUCAACUUUGACCGAAAUCAUCAUCUUUGGUUGCAAACUUCCAGUUUCCACCAACUUUGACCAAAAACAUCAACUUUGACCGAAAUCAUCUUCUUUGGUUGCAAACUUCCAGUUUCCACCAACUUUGAUCAAAAACAUUUACUUUGACCAAAAACAUCAACUUUGACCGAAAACAUCAACUUUGGUCGCAAAAUUCAUGUUUCCACCAACUUUGACCAAAAACAUCAACUUUGACCGAAAACAUCAACUUUGGUCGCAAACCUCGAGUUUCCACCAACUUUGAUCAAAAACAUCAACUUUGACCGAAAUCAUCAUCUUUGGUUGCAAACUUCCAGUUUCCACCAACUUUGACCAAAAACAUCUACUUUGACCGAAAUCAUCAACUUUGGUUGCAAACUUCAAGUUUCCACCAACUUUGACCAAAAACAUCAACUUUGACCAAAAACAUCAACUUUGACCGAAAACAUCAACUUUGGUCGCAAAAUUCAUGUUUCCACCAACUUUGACCAUAAACAUCAACUUUGACCGAAAACAUCAACUUUUUUCGCAAACCUCGAGUUUCCACCAACUUUGAUCAAAAACAUCAACUUUGACCGAAAUCAUCAUCUUUGGUUGCAAACUUCCAGUUUCCACCAACUUUGACCAAAAACAUCAACUUUGACCGAAAACAUCAACUUUGGUUGCAAACUUCCAGUUUCCACCAACUUUGACCAAAAACAUCAACUUUGACCAAAAACAUCAACUUUGACCGAAAACAUCAACUUUGACCGAAAACAUCAACUUUGGUCGCAAAAUUCAUGUUUCCACCAACUUUGACCAAAAACAUCUACUUUGACCGAAAACAUCAACUUUGGUCGCAAACCUCGAGUUUCCACCAACUUUGAUCAAAAACAUCAACUUUGACCGAAAUCAUCAUCUUUGGUUGCAAGCUUCCAGUUUCCACCAACUUUGACCAAAAACAUCUACUUUGACCGAAAUCAUCAUCUUUGGUUGCAAACUUCCAGUUUCCACCAACUUUGACCAAAAACAUCAACUUUGACCGAAAACAUCAACUUUGGUUGUAAACUUCAAGUUUCCACCAACAUUGACCAAAAACAUCAACUUUGACCGAAAACAUCAACUUUGGUCGCAAAAUUCAUGUUUCCACCAAUU